rnacentral:rRNA from 1 species
GACGGAGGAUGCAAGUGUUAUCCGGAAUCACUGGGACGUAAAGCGUCUGUAGGUGGUUUAAAAAGUCCACUGUUAAAGAUUGAAGCUUAACUUCAAAAAUGCCGUGGAAACUUUUAAACUUGAGUAUGAUAGGGGUAGAGGGAAUUUCCAGUGGAGCGGUGAAAUGCGUAGAUAUUGGAAAGACCACCAAUGGCGAAGGCACUCUACUGGGCCAUUACUGACACUGAGAGACGAAAGCUAGGGGAGCAAAUGGG